rnacentral:lncRNA from 1 species
CAGUUACACCCGGAAGUGUUCUGGGGUCGCCCCCACGGCGGCGCGGCGGAGCUCAGCCUCGAUCUCGCGAAACCGAGCGAGACUACGGAAGGCCGAAGGAUUGGGCUCAGCAUUGCUUGGGCUAAAGGCUGACUAGGGCUUCCAGGAAGUGAUGCUUGAGUGCAGUGGCACGAUCUUGGCUCACUGCAACCUCCACCUCCCGAGUUCAAGCGAUUCUCCUGCCUCACCCUCCUGAGUAGCUGGGACUACAGGCCUGCGCCACCACACCUGGCUAACUUCUGAAUAUCAAGCUGAAAUUACUAUCAGAUAUCUUGCCACCACAUAGAGGCUUUGAGUGAAGUCUGCAUGGAGGAGAACAGAGCUGAGAGAUGGAAAGAUACUGAAUCCCAGUGACGUCCUUUGAGAUGUCGGAUCAAGCUGAGCUGGGCAUGAAGAUAGAGCUACUCCUAUACUUUUAAGAUACCAAUAACAAGCAAGAUUCAGAAGUCCAACAAGUAAGACAUUGAUUUCAUUAAGAGAGAACUAGUAAGCAAGCUAUUUGGGAAGUACACUCUCAUAAGAAUAUUGUUUCAUGAAGUCUUGAGCAACAAAGGAAAUAGUCCAUGAAGUGCACUGCUGUCAGACUCCCUCUAAGAAUACUUCAACUGCUCAUGAAGCGGGGGGCCUUAACUAUUUACUUCUUUUGGAAGCCUCCAUCUGGCCCAUCUAUCUUUAUUCUCCCAGGAUCACAGGCAGAACACCUGAGCCACAGUAUCAGAACUAGGGUUGGAAGCCUGCUUUUCCUGGAAUGAAACCCCUCACUCUUCAAGUGUCCAGGAGACAAGAGUCAUUGUGCAAGCCUAUCUCUAGAGAGGCUAACAGACUCUUUCUGGCUUUGAAAGAAACAAGCUGCCAUAUUGAAACAAGCUGCCAUAUUAUGUGUGAGCUGCCCUAAGGAAAGACACACAUGGUAAGGAAGAGAGGAUGACCUCUGGCUGAUAGGCAGCAAGAAACUAAGGACCUCAGUCUGAGAACCUGCAAGGAGCUGAAUUCUUCCAAUUACCAUGUGAGCUUGGAAGCAGCUCCUUCCCCAGUCAAGCCUCAGAUGAGACCCCAGCCCUGGCCAACACCUUGAUUGCAGCCUCUUAUGAAGAUUGUAGUCCCUAAGCAGAAAAUCCAGAUAACCUGUGCCCAGAUUGCUGAGCCACAGAAAUUCACUGAGAUAAUAAACGUGUGUUUCAAGCUGCUGAAUUUGUGGUAAUUUGUUGAAAACUAAUAGGUAACUAACAGAUAAUGUAUGCCCUGUUCUUUA